UAGGGAAUCUUCCACAAUGGGCGAAAGCCUGAUGGAGCAACGCCGCGUGUGUGAUGAAGGGUCUCGGCUCGUAAAACACUGUUGUAAGAGAAGAAUGACAUUGAGAGUAACUGUUCAAUGUGUGACGGUAUCUUACCAGAAAGGAACGGCUAAAUACGUGCCA
rnacentral:rRNA from 1 species